rnacentral:rRNA from 1 species
GACGAACGCUGGCGGCGUGCUUAACACAUGCAAGUCGAACGGAAAGGCCCCUUUGGGGUUCCUCGAGUGGCGAACGGGUGAGUAACACGUGAGUAACCUGCCCUUGACUUCGGGAGAACUUCAGGAAACUGGGGCUAAUACCGGAUAGGAAUCCUUGCUGCAUGGUGGGGGUUGGAAAGCUUCGGCGGUUUUGGAUGGACUCGCGGCUUAUCAGCUUGUUGGUGGGGUAGUGGCUUACCAAGGCUUUGACGGGUAGCCGGCCUGAGAGGGCGACCGGCCACAUUGGGACUGAGAUACGGCCCAGACUCCGACGGGAGGCAGAAGUGGGGAAUAUUGCACAAUGGGCGGAAGCCUGAUGCAGCAACGCCGCGUGCGGGAGGACGGCCUUCGGGUUGUAAACCGCUUUCAGCAGGGGCGAAGCUUGUGGUGACGGUACCUGCAGAAGAAGCACCGGCUAACUACGUG